AAGAGAAGGAUGAGCUGAUACGGCUAACGUUCUGGCACCAAGCCUCUCUUCUCCAUGGACCAUAAUGCGAGAAAAGCUACCAAGUCACUUAUCCAUCACUGCACUGAGUUGUAAACAGAUACGGUGCAAGGCAAGGCAUCGUUCUCUCUGAAAGCAUUUACUGCAUCUUUGGCAGAACACGAGGUGCUGAUAUUAUGACUUGAGAAAUGGGCACUGCAGUGGUGCCAGAUCUUCAGAGGACAUUCAGACUAUUGGUCCAAUUAUUGGGAAGGAUUGGCCUGAACUGAUCAUCAGAGACCAUGAGGGAGGAAAAACCCUAAAGAGGAACAGUGGAUAUAUCAGGAGUAGUUCCAGCACUGUUGAAGCACAUGACUUGGAUCCAGAAUUCCUUAUCUGAUGGAUGUUCUCCAGGGCGGUAUUUCUUUAUGCUAUAGAUUUGAUACUUGAUUGGGCCGACUUAUGACUAGCCCUCCCUUUCCUGGCUCGAGGUGGAAGGACCGUGAUUAGUUCUCCCAGCUGGAUCAUCGCGGUUCCUGCAAUUCCCGUUCCAGAGCUGUAUGUUUUGCAUUACAAACCUUUGGCCUAACAACAUUUUCGUGAGGGUGGAGUUGAUGAUCUGGCUAAGAGGGAAUAGCUUGUUCGUUUCUAGUUUUCCUAAAAUUAUUUCAUAAUCGGAGCGGCUAAGAACUCUCCACCUAAUUCAAACACCCAGAAGGAAUGUCCCACACAGACGAAGAUAAAAUCUUGUUCUCCAUUGUCCUAAAGUGCAGGAAGCAGAAUUGAGUUUAGAAGAGGGGUAGGCAACACUUUUAGGACCAGUAAACUCUGAGCAAAGCUGGCUCAGGAAUUCUGGGAAUUGAAAUCCACAUAAAGCCCAGCCUGGGUUAGAAGAAAGGAGAUUCCAACUUAAUUCGGGAAAAGGCCCCUAAUUUCUUAUUAAUAGAGGCAGUUUAAGAGUGCAAUAAAUAUGAGGAGGUGGUAGUCUCACCUUCACUGGAUGUGCAAAGUAGAGGCUAUAUCUACUGUACAUCUCUGUCCUGGAUGCUUUAAUUCAGGGGUCUCCAACCUUGGCAAUUUUAAGA